CCUCCUCCUCCUCCUCUUCCUCUUCUUUCUCCUCCUCUUUCUCUCUCUCUCGUUUACUGUAUCUAUGGUCUCCUCCUCCUCCUCCUCCUCUUCCUCACGUCACGUUCGCCGGCGCACCAUUUCUUAAUCAAGUCAUUCAUGCGUGGCCAACUUGACACCUCACCUAAGAGCCUCUCCUCAGCCCUCGAUCGCCCGGCCUCUUGCGUCUGUCUCGGCCCGAAGGAGGGAGUGUAAGGCGAGAAGAAGGGCUGUCGGGAGGGAGAAAGGAAGGGAAGAGCAUGAAAAGAAGGGAGGAGCAAAGGGCAAGGGUGGAGGGACUCUUUCUUUACAUGAUACUGAGAGAGAAAGGAAGGGAAGAGCAAUUAAGGGCAAGGUUCUGUUUUGGCUGAUGUAAGAAGGGUUGUUAGGAGAGAGAGAAAGGAAGGGAAGAGCAAGGACAAGGGGAAAGGUUCUGUUUUGGCUGUUAAAAGAAAGGCUGUUGGGAGAGAGAAAGGAAGGAAAGGGCAAGAGCAAGGGGGAAGGUUCUGUUUUGCCUGUUAAAAGAAAGGCUGUUGGGAGAGAGAAAGGAAGGAAAGAGCAAGAGCAAGGGGGAAGGUUCUGUUUUUGUCUGUUAAAAGAAAGGCUGUUGGGAGAGAGAAAGGCAGGAAAGGGCAAGAGCAAGGGGGAAGGUUCUGUUUUUGUCUGUUAAAAGAAAGGCUGUUGGGAGAGAAAAAGGCAGGAAAGAGCAAGAGCAAGGGGAAAGGUUCUGUUUUUGUCUGUUAAAAGAAAGGCUGUUGGGAGAGAGAAAGGAAGGAAAGAGCAAGAGCAAGGGGGAAGGUUCUGUUUUGGCUGUUAAAAGAAAGGCUGUUGGGAGAGAGAAAGGAAGGAAAGGGCAAGAGCAAGGGGGAAGGUUCUGUUUUUGUCUGUUAAAAGAAAGGCUGUUGGGAGAGAGAAAGGAAGGAAAGAGCAAGAGCAAGGGGGAAGAUUCUGUUUUUGUCUGUUAAAAAGAAAGGCUGUUGGGAGAGAAAAAGGCAGGAAAGAGCAAGAGCAAGGGGGAAGGUUCUGUUUUUGUCUGUUAAAAGAAAGGCUGUUGGGAGAGAGAGAAAGGAAGGAGAGGACAAAGAGCAAUGAGUAAGGAGCUCUUUCUCACUUAAAUGGCAGCUUCAGGAGGGUUAGAAUUAUCAAAGGAGGAUGUGAAAGAGAAGGAGAAGGGAAAGAAUAAAGGUAGCAGGGAGGGAAAAAGGAAGGAGUGAAGGUACCAGGGAGGAAGAAUGGAAGGAGUAAUGAUUGGAGUAGGAAAGGGAGGUGUAUUUUUUUUUUACAUCAAAGGAUACGGCUCGAGGUCAACAAAAAGAGUACACACACACAA